rnacentral:rRNA from 1 species
AUUGAACGCUGGCGGCAGGCUUAACACAUGCAAGUCGAGCGGGGGAGGUUGCUUCGGUAACUGACCUAGCGGCGGACGGGUGAGUAAUGCUUAGGAAUCUGCCUAUUAGUGGGGGACAACAUUCCGAAAGGAAUGCUAAUACCGCAUACGCCCUACGGGGGAAAGCAGGGGAUCUUCGGACCUUGCGCUAAUAGAUGAGCCUAAGUCGGAUUAGCUAGUUGGUGGGGUAAAGGCCUACCAAGGCGACGAUCUGUAGCGGGUCUGAGAGGAUGAGCCGCCGCACUGGGACUGAGACACGGCCCAGACUCCUACGGGAGGCAGCAGUGGGGAAUAUUGGACAAUGGGCGGAAGCCUGAUCCAGCCAUGCCGCGUGUGUGAAGAAGGCCUUUUGGUUGUAAAGCACUUUAAGCGAGGAGGAGGCUCUUAAGGUUAAUACCCUUGAUGAGUGGACGUUGCUCGCAGAAUAAGCACCGGCUAACUCUGUGCCAGCCGCCGCCGUAAAAC